AAAAUAAUAAUAAUAGAAUUCUGCCUCACAGUCUAGGUGUGUGAUUUAAUUUCUUCCAUUUUAAGACUUUGCUUUAUUCCUAGCCCUUGUGGUAGCUGUUCUGCGCUUCAUACAACUGAAACCGAAGGUUUUAAACCCGUGGCUGAAUAUUAGUGGAUUGGUGGCUCUGUGUCUGGCUUCCUUCGGAAUGACCUUACUUGGUAAUUUUCAGGUACUUGAUUUGGCCUUUUUCACCUCCCUCUGACACUGGUAAGACCUUCACUUCUGAGACUAUCAAAGCUAUUGAGGUAUAAUCACCAUAUGGCCCAUAUAAUUCUGCACAAACCUUUUUUUAAAAACUAGGACUCUUUUCCAUGGCAACUCGGAGCUGUUCAGCUGCUUCAAGAUGAAGCUGAACAGCUCCUUCCUAGCCAUUGGCUGCCAGAAACUCAUUAAAGUGGAAGAUGAACGCAAACUUCGUACUUUUUAUGAGAAGCAUAUGGCCACAGAAAUUGCUGCUUAUGCUCUGGGUGAAGAAUGGAAGGGUUAUGUGGUCCGAAUCAGUGGUGGGAACAACAAACAAGGUUUCUUGUUUGUUGGUGGGAACAACAAGCAGGGUAUCUUGACCCAUGGCCAUGCCCGCCUGCCUGUUACAUUCCUGUUAUAUAUAGACCAAGGAAAGCUGGAGAAAGAAAGAGAAAAUUAGUUCGUGGUUGCACUGUGGAUGCCAAUCUGAGCAUUCUCAACUUUGUUAUUGUGAAAAAAAAGAGAGAAGGCUAUACCUGGACUGACUGAUACUAGGGUGCCUCGUCACCUGGGGCCUAAAAGAGCUAGCAGAAUCCGCAAACUUUUCUUUUUUGAGACGGAGUCUCGCUCUGUCGCCCAGGUUUUAGCGCAGUGGCGAGAUCUCAGCUUACUGCAACCUCCGCCUCCCGGGUUCAAGUAAUUCUCCCGCCUCAGCCUCCUGAGUAGCUGGGACCACGGGGAAUGCCACCACACCCAGCUAAAUUUUUGUAUUUUUAGUAGAGACGGAGUUUCACCUUGUUAGCCAGGAUGGUCUUGAUCUCCUGACCUCGCGAUCUGCCCGCCUCGGCCUCCCAAGUUGCUGGGAUUACAGGCCUGAGCCACCGCGCCUGGUCAAACUUUUCAGUGUCUCUAAAGAAGAUGAUGUCUGCCAGUAUGUUGUAAGAAAGCCCUUAAACAAAGAAGGUAAGAAACCUAGGACCAAAGCACCCAAGAUUCAGCAUCUUGUUACUCCACGUGUCCUGCAGCACAAACAGCAGCCUAUUGCUCUGAAGAAGCAGUGUACUAAGAAAAACAGGGAAGAGGCUGCAGAAUAUGCUAAACUUUCGGCCAAGAGAAUGAAGGAGGCUAAAGAGAAGCGCAAGGAACAAGUUGUGAAGAGACGCAGACUUUCCUCUCUGCGAGCUUCUGCUUCUAAGUCUGAAUCUAGUCAGGAAAAAGAUUUUUUGAGUAACAAAUAAGAUCAGACUCACAAAAAAAAAAAAAAAAAA
ensembl:lncRNA novel transcript